rnacentral:rRNA from 1 species
CCUACGGGAGGCUGCAGUGAGGAAUAUUGGUCAAUGGACGCAAGUCUGAACCAGCCAUGCCGCGUGCAGGAAGACGGCUCUAUGAGUUGUAAACUGCUUUUGUACGAGGGUAAACGCAGAUACGCGUACCUGUCUGAAUGUAUCGUACGAAUAAGGAUCGGCUAACUCCGUGCCAGCAGCCGCGGUAAUACGGAGGAUUCAAGCGUUAUCCGGAUUUAUUGGGUUUAACGGGUGCGUAGGCGGUCGGAUAAGUUAGAGGUGAAAUCCCGAGGCUCAACUUCGGAAUUGCCGUUGAUACUGUACGGCUAGAGAGUAGUGGAGGUAGGCGGAAUGUAUGGUGUAGCGGUGAAAUGCUUAGAGAUCAUACAGAACACCGAUUGCGAAGGCAGCUUACCAGGCUACUUCUGACGUUGAGGCACGAAAGCGUGGGGAGCAAACAGGAGUAGAUACCCGUGUAGUC